rnacentral:rRNA from 1 species
UACGAAGGUGGCAAGCGUUGUUCGGAUUUACUGGGGCGUACAGGGAGCGUAGGCGGUUGGAUAAGCCCUCCGUGAAAUCUCCAGGCUUAACCUGGAAAGUGCAGAGGGGACUGUUCAGCUAGAGGAUGGGAGAGGAGCGCGGAAUUCCCGGUGUAGCGGUGAAAUGCGUAGAGAUCGGGAGGAAGGCCGGUGGCGAAGGCGGCGCUCUGGAACAUUUCUGACGCUGAGGCUCGAAAGCGUGGGGAGCAAACAGGG